AUCUUUCUUAAAACUUUCAUCUUUGAAGUGGUGGUGUUAAGGAUGCUUCUGAUCGUGGGGUGGUGAGGACUUCCCGGAAAAUGGCAGGCAGACGUCAAGCUUCACAACUCUCUUUCUUAUCCCUUCCAUUUCAUAUGAGGUAUUAACACUUUUCCGUAAUUUCCUUCAUAUUAUUUGCAUUAUAUUCAUCACCAUAAUUCAGAAUAAGGAUCUUGAGGCCCUGCAUUUUAGUUUCUUUCCAUCAUGAUGUCAGUAAGUCUUGAAUCUUGAAUUCAAUUUCGUUAACAGAUUUAUGUUCAAAUACUGUUAAUAGAUGAAUUCUUUGAAAACCCAGUUCUUUUUUUAUUGUGAUUGUGUAUGGUGUAAUUACGCAUUGGACUCUUUACCCCUAAACUAUGCAUAGUUUCUCAGCAUAAAUCUAGGGAAUUUUAUUAUGGGAAUGUACUUAUGUUAUCUGAUCCAGUGAAAAGUUGUCAUUAAUUAAUAAUGAAUGGCCAAUGGGGAUUUCUAAGCAAAUGUAUUUGUUAAUCUUUUAAAUUGCUCAAUAAUAUUUAUGUAAUAUUUACUGAUAGUAGGAGUUGGAUUGAUCUCACUGUGAAGCAUUGGAAUUUCCUGUGUUUUGACAACUUAAUCCACAUCCUUUAAAUUUGCUACUUCUAUCAUUCUUUUACAAUUUGCCUAUGUAAUGGUUGUUUUCUGUGAUCUGCCAUUCACCCCUUCCUCCUGGGAUCGACACCUCUUGUCAUCACUUAUUUUUUUUAUUUUUGUUUUAUGUCCCGUAACUCUUCCUUAGCCAGGCUUGGGCGGCCUGUCCAGCAGUUUCCUGAGUGUUGGAGUUAAUUUAUGGGAUGAAACAACUCGAAGUAUGGUCUGGCUUAUUGAUAAGUUUUAAAGAUUAAUAUAAUGAUGCUAUGUCAGAAACUUUCAAGAUCCUUUUGUUAGUCAUCUUGCAUUCCAAAUCCAGUUUCUUUGCAUUAUUUUAUUUACUAGGAACUGGAUUUAUUAACCAAAUGGUUAACUCCAUCCAUAAACCUUUUACAUCAAAAGUUAAAUGAUUUGAUUGAUUUGUACGGAUUUUUGGAAAGAUGCAACUAUUCAGUCAAUAUGGCUUAUUUCAGAAUAUAUAAGGUGUCCUUUUACAUAGACCUAUUUAUUCUUCUUUCAAAAAUUUUCACUUAAUAAGUCUAUUUGUUAAAACAGGUUUUAUGAGAAGUCUUUGGGACCUAUUAUAUAUGGUCAUGUUCAUAUAGAUUCUUUUUAUAAAACAUCCGCGAUAAGAGGAUUAGCCCAUUAACUCAUUUUUUUUGAUCGACGAGUAAUUGAUGGUUUACAAAAGGGGUUAGUGUUAUGAGUUUCUAUAUAGGAAAAUGUAUGAAAUAUGUAGGUGGUGGACGCAUUUCUUCUAUCUUUUCUUCUAUUUAUCUUGUGUAUCAAUCUUUCUAUUAAUUUCUUAUUUUCUGGUUUUUUUAAUAAGCAUUUUGAAUUUUGAAUUGCCAUGAUGAUGAUAUGCAGGAUCCCCUGGAUAAAACUGAAACCAAAAAGGGGGAAGAUUCACAUCCGACUAGUACUUCUAAUUGCACAAUCAGUGCCUCAGAUGUAAGGUGUUUUUGGUGCACAUUUUUCUGAAGUGAUUUUGACAUAUAUUUUGACUAAGGUUUUAAAGAUUGAUAUAUGAUGUAUUAAUAAAUAUAAUUAUGUUAUGUUGAAAACUUUCAUAAUCAUUUUACUAUUCUUAAGAUUAUGUGAUAAUAUCCCAUGACCUGUUUCUCAAAAUAAGCUCUUUGGAGUCUCCAAAGACCAUCUUGCGUUCCAAUUCCAGUUUCUUUGCUCCAUUUUAAUUACAAGGACCUCAUUGUGCUGAUCAUUUGCAGGAUCCCGUGGACAAAACUGAAACGAAAAGGGUAGAAGACUCCCUGCCGACUAGUACCCCUGAUUGCACAAUCCAGGUCUCAGAUGUGAGCUUCAUGAAUUACAUUGUAGCCAAAAUUUAUAUGCCUUUUCUCAAUAAUCAUCUUUCUCCUUGUUGAUGUCCACAAAAGAAGACUGUUUUGCUCUGAAUGAUAAUGCUUUUCUUUUGGCUUAAUUAACAUUUACAGUUAUUUGAACUUGUUCCCAUGAUGAAAAACCACCAACUCCCAAAUAGUGAAAGACAAACAAAUUUGGAUUUUUUGAUUGGCGGAAUUGGACAUCAUGGAUAUUAAGGCAUAACCCAGAAACCAAAUCAUGGAGGAAAGUAACCUUUGUAUGGA
rnacentral:lncRNA from 1 species